rnacentral:tRNA from 10 species
GCGCCUGUAGCUCAAUUGGAUAGAGCAACGGCCUUCUAAGCCGUCGGUUGCAGGUUCGAGCCCUGCCAGGCGUGCCA